rnacentral:piRNA from 1 species
UGCAGAGUUUACAAUGUAUUGUGGUGCAAUU